CUCACCUCUUCCCAUUCCGAACAGAGAAGUUAAGCCUGCCUGCGCCGAUGGUACUGCUAUUGCGGGAGAGUAGGUCGUCGCCAGUU
rnacentral:rRNA from 1 species